rnacentral:rRNA from 1 species
GGCAGGCUUACACAUGCAAGUCGAGCGGUAACAUUUCUAGCUUGCUAGAAGAUGACGAGCGGCAGACGGGUGAGUAACGCGUAGGAAUCUGCCUAGUAGUGGGGGACAACAUGUGGAAACGCAUGCUAAUACCGCAUACGCCCUACGGGGGAAAGGAGGGGAUCUUCGGACCUUUCGCUAUUAGAUGAGCCUGCGUGAGAUUAGCUAGUUGGUGGGGUAAAGGCCUACCAAGGCGACGAUCUCUAGCUGGUCUGAGAGGAUGAUCAGCCACACUGGGACUGAGACACGGCCCAGACUCCUACGGGAGGCAGCAGUGGGGAAUAUUGGACAAUGGGCGCAAGCCUGAUCCAGCCAUGCCGCGUGUGUGAAGAAGGCCUUAGGGUUGUAAAGCACUUUCAGGAGUGAGGAAGGGCGUAUAGUUAAUACCUGUAUGUUUUGACGUUAACUCCAGAAGAAGCACCGGCUAACUCUGUGCCAGCAGCCGCGGUAAUACAGAGGGUGCGAGCG